CAGAAUGGACGGCACAUGUCCCUGAAAGUGACACAGCACUCAGUGAUGCAGGCCUGGCAGAAGCUGCAGCCACAGAAGAUGCUCACAGGGUCCUUCAUGUGCUCCAGGCAGACACUGCAGGUCACCUCUUCCAGGAGUUUCCCAAUAGUGGGCCCAGUUGCCAUGACUGCUGUCCAAGGAUCGCACUCUCUGCAGUAUUUCUACUCGGCUGUGUCUGAGCCAGGUCCAGGAGUCCCUGCAUUUACUGCCUUUGGCUUUGUGGACAAUCAACCUUUCAUCCGCUAUGACAGUGAAGAGAUGAAGGCAAAAUCUUGCGUUCAGUGGCUGAUGGAGGAGCCAAGUUACUUUGACGAUGAGACCAAUAUCUUCACAAAUCGGAUGAAGAUUUUCCAGUUAAAUUUGAGGAAUGUGCAGCGAUACUACAACCGAACCACGAAGCAUGGUCUGAACAAAGAACACCCACAAAAACAAGCAGGCACCCACACCCUCCAGUUCACCUACGGCUGUGAGCUCCGGGAGGACGGCGGGACCACCUGGCACUGGCAAUAUGGCUAUGAUGGUGACGACUACCUGAGUUUGGAUGUGGACCCUCUGCAAUAUACGGCGGUCUCAUUCAUUGCCCGCUACACCAAGCAAAAAUGGGAGGCCAGUGGGAACUUCAUAGAGAGAGACAAGAUCUAUUUGGAGAAGGAGUGCAUCCUGUGGCUGCAGAGAUACUUGGAGUUUGGAGGGGAGAGCUUGAACCGCACUGAGCCUCCCAGAACACACGUGACCCAGCACCCCAUCUCUGACCAUGAGGUCACCCUGAGGUGCUGGGCCCUGGGCUUCUACCCUGCGGAGAUCACCCUGACCUGGCAGCGUGAUGGGGAGGACCUCACUCAGGACACGGAGCUUGUGGACACCAGGCCUGGGGGGGACGGGACCUUUCAGAAGUGGGCGGCCGUGGUGGUGCCUUCUGGAGAGGAGCAGAGAUACACCUGCCAUGUGCAGCAUGAGGGGCUGCCUGAGCCUGUCACUCUGAAAUGGGAGUCCCCUCCUCAGGCCACCAUUCCCAUUUUGGGAAUCUUUGUUGGCCUGGUUUUCCUUGGAGCUGUGGUCUCUGGAGCUGUGGUGGUUAGAUCUGUGAGCUGGAGGAAGAAAAUUUUCAGGUAGGGAAGGGGUGGGGUCUGAGGUUUUUUUUGUCCCACUGGGGGAUUUCAAGCCUAGGUAGAAGUUUGCCGUGCUUCAUUAAUGAGAAGUACCAUCCACACACAUGUGCUUGUCAGUCUGGGGCCAUUUGCUAACACUUACUCUUUAGUAAAGCACAUGUGACAAUGAAGACAAAUUUAUCAACUUGAUGAAUCUGGUGAUAGGGAGCUGAUUCUCAGCAGUUGAAGGUCAGAGAGGGUCACUUCUGAGGACAGAUUUCUAGGUGGGUGGUUGGUGCAGUUCUCACACAUCUACUUUCUUCAUGUUUCCUGAUCCUGCCCUGGGUCUUCAGUCAUAGUUCUGGAAACUUCCCUUUGGUCCAGGACUAGGGAGUUCCUUUAGGAUCUCAUGACCCAGUCAUCUCCUUGGCCUCUUAUGGGACAUUUUCUUCCCACAGACGGAAAAUGAGGACGCUACACUUAGGCUACAUGCAGUGACAGUGGCCAGAGCUCUGAUGCUUCUCUCAUGGCUCCUAGAGGUGAGAUCCU